rnacentral:rRNA from 1 species
GACGAACGCUGGCGGCGUGCCUAAUACAUGCAAGUUGAGCGCUGAAGGUUGGUACUUGUACCGACUGGAUGAGCAGCGAACGGGUGAGUAACGCGUGGGGAAUCUGCCUUCGAGCGGGGGACAACAUUUGGAAACGAAUGCUAAUACCGCAUAAAAACUUUAAACACAAGUUUUAAGUUUGAAAGAUGCAAUUGCUUCACUCAAAGAUGAUCCCGCGUUGGAUUAGCUAGUUGGUGAGGUAAAGGCUCACCAAGGCGAUGAUACAUAGCCGACCUGAGAGGGUGAUCGGCCACCUUGGGACUGAGACACGGCCCAAACUCCUACGGGAGGCAGCAGUAGGGAAUCUUCGGCAAUGGACGAAAGUCUGACCGAGCAACGCCGCGUGAGUGAAGAAGGUUUUCGGAUCGUAAAACUCUGUUGGUAGAGAAGAACGUUGGUGAGAGUGGAAAGCUCAUCAAGUGACGGUAACUACCCAGAAAGGGACGGCUAACUACGUG